CGAUAGUCCUAGACGCACACUUGUCUUCAUAUUUGUUUUUAUGUGUCGUGAUGGCGCGUCACUUCCUGUUAGAAGCGGAUAUGCGUUUCCCAAGAAGUGUUUCCCUUCGCUUUUGGUGACAGGAUGCCAGCUUUGCCAUUGAAUCAGAUUCAGGUGACUCUGUUUUCUGUCCAUGAAUAUGGACAUUUGUCUGUACCCCUUUAACGUUGACAUAUGCUUUUUCAGAUGUUUGACUGAAUUAGGUGAGUCCAAGUGGUUGUUUUCGUUCUUACCAGUAUCCUGAGCGUAUUGUAUGAAGGCACUUUGUUGUAUAUGUACCCCCUCCAGCUCCCAGUGCUCCAGGAGCUAAUUUGAUCACACAAGACCUACGCUGGUUACUGGGGCACAUGUCACAUGACCUCUUCUGGUGCCAAACUACUAAUUAUUAUUAUUUAUUAUUUUUUUUUAAACCUUGCAUGUCAUACAUUAAUAAAAUCUUGUAAAAAAAAAAAAAUAAGAAGGAAAGGUGUGAAAUCACUAGGGAUGCUGAAUGUAAGGGGUCAUAAUCACUUACCUGAUACUGCGGGCUGGUGCUCCUGCUCACUGAAAACUUUAAAUGUUUUUGUGAACCAAAAGGAGCUGGUGCUCCUGCUUUAAAGGUUUUCAUAAACCAGCCUGGGCCCAUUAAAGAAGAGAAAGAAGAUUAUUGCUCCACGGUGCUCCUACCAAACUACCAGUUCCCACCCUUUUGACUGAAUGUAAUGAGCUCUGUGCAUAUAAGAAGCAAUGCUUUUUGUCCAGGGACAUACAUUAAAAAUAAAUGUACUUUGAAAAAUGUAUUUUUUCCAUUUCUUAAGAGGAAUUGCCUUUUUGCUUUUCCCAUAUACAUAUGCAGGCAUUUUACAAUUCUCUCAGUUGCCAGUCUAUUAUAACGUUUAUGUUCUGUUGUACCGAUUUUACAAUUUUAUUUAGUUUUUUUAUGCUUCCAAAGUACUUGGUGGAGCAAGGUUUGAGAAGUGUGUAUUCAGACAUAUAUCAGUGAGAGCUGCCAUACACUUGCACUUACACAGGAAAAAUGCAACAGCAUUUGUAGUAAUCAUUUAUAGAAUUCUUAGGCUCAUGGCACACAGGACAUUUUCUCUGCUAUACUUGAAUACUUGAAUCCAACUAAUGACCAAUGUCAUUAGUUUCAGUGUAUGCCUUCUGUCACCAGUUAGAACAGGCAGUGCUUCACAGCUGACUGCAAAACAUCGGUAGAUAAUACAUUUUGUGUGCUUACGGCCAAAUCUAUCGCUGGAGUUGCCUAAUAGGGAAGGAAGAUGAUAACUCCAACCCAGUGAAUGGAUACAAUUAAGCACCGUGUGUGAGAAACAAUGCAUUUUGUCCAGGGUAAUGAUUGCUGUACAAUGUUUUUUUUUUGUUUUUUUUUAGAGAAGGAGUUCCCUUUUCCCCAUAUACAAUCCCUCUGUGUGUUUUUGAGGCAUUCUACUAUUACCGUUGUCUAUAAUAAAAUCAUUUUGUGUUAAAUGUAGCAACUAUGCACUUGACCAGUGUUCUUACUAUUCGCGUUCUGUUUCUAAAACUUCAGGUGAUAUUUAACGAGUCACUACAAAAAUGUCUAGACUCUUUUUUUUUUGAGCAGUGCUUCAAGGAGAUAUGACUGCCACUAUCCCUUUCCUCCUCCUGUGCAGAAAGUGCAAAAUGAGCUUCAUCGCUAUGUCUUCCUCGCCUUCUUGUCGACACACAAGGAGUCCAAGGGGCCUCAACAUAAUAUCACUGAAUGCAAUAAAUCUUUCAUUCAUUGCAUAUUUGUUUAAUUGUGUCUGUUUAUUAAAGGAACACCACAUUACCCCCUCUGUCUUUGGGGAAAAUCUUGUACAACAACUAUCUGUUUGGCAUCUUGGAUAUCUGUGUUCUUUUUGGAAUGAGAAAUUCUGCUCUGCUGCAGAAGAUUAUAGUUAAACAAUGCUGAAUUUGCUUUUUUUGUAUUUAUUGAUGGCCACAACCCUUCAUUCUCUACUGUUAACAUUUUUGAAGGUAGUUACUCUAAAAAUGCUCCUCUAUAGCCCUUACAGAUGUACUGCAUUUAUACAAUGGAUUGCCCCCCUCGCCUCUCCAUCUCCAAGCUGUGUCUUAGUUAAAAAGAAGCCCCUGAAAAAAACCCUGAACAGUGGUUUGCACUGCAGAACAGUGCAGUGGAGUUCCAGGGCGCCAUCUUCUGGACGUUCUUGUUCUUUCAGGUCUGACCGCAGAUGGGAGCAUGCACAGUUCAAGCUGAUUCCUGGCUGGGCACAACUGUGCAUGCUCCCACAGGCUUUGUGGCAGCGAAGAGACCUGAAAGAACACUAAAUAGCCAGUAUUUAGUAACACUCGUUUUGGCGCAGGUUAAAACUUGUUAAUUAUCUGUAGCCUCCCGAUUAAAAAAAAUUCAAGAUAAUAUUUUAAUUAUUAUAAACUGUGUAUAGUUACUUUCCUUUCAAGAAAAUAAACAUAUACAAUUGAAAAGUAAAUAAAUAUUUUAACACUUGA